UACGUAGGGAGCAAGCGUUAUCCGGAUUUACUGGGUGUAAAGGGAGCGUAGACGGCAUGGCAAGUCUGGAGUGAAAACCCAGGGCUCAACCUUGGGAUUGCUUUGGAAACUGUCAAGCUGGAGUGCCGGAGAGGUAAGCGGAAUUCCUAGUGUAGCGGUGAAAUGCGUAGAUAUUAGGAGGAACACCAGUGGCGAAGGCGGCUUGCUGGACGGUAACUGACGUUGAGGCUCGAAAGCGUGGGGAGCAAACAGG
rnacentral:rRNA from 1 species